GUUUGCCAAAUAUAUGCUCUUUGUGAAGGAUAUCCUCAGGUACCAUAAUAAUGUUUUGUGCCAAAGACCUCCAAAACUUCUUUCCUGGCUACUUUCAUCCACACGCUAGUUAAAUCACUUCUAUUCUUUCAAUCAUUUUGAUUAGUUGUUAGUGUUAGCAGGAUCUUUUAUGUCUACUUUUAAUGGUUUGAGCUUAUUAUAGGA
rnacentral:misc_RNA from 1 species